AGCCUCCUAUUUCCUUUCCUAUCGGAUCUUGAUAUUGAUUUUGAUGAUAGUAAAGGAGAAAAAAAAUACACUAGAUCUCUCCUCACCUCUCAGCUGUAUACUCUAGUGUAGAGCACAGGGCUAAAUUCAAACAGGU
ensembl:snoRNA Gm26173 predicted gene, 26173